UACGAAGGGGGCUAGCGUUGCUCGGAAUUACUGGGCGUAAAGGGCGCGUAGGCGGACAGUUUAGUCAGAGGUGAAAGCCCAGGGCUCAACCUUGGAAUUGCCUUUGAUACUGACUGUCUUGAGUACGGGAGAGGUGAGUGGAACUCCGAGUGUAGAGGUGAAAUUCGUAGAUAUUCGGAAGAACACCAGUGGCGAAGGCGACUCACUGGCCCGUUACUGACGCUGAGGCGCGAAAGCGUGGGGAGCAAACA
rnacentral:rRNA from 1 species